CCGCCCGCCCGCGCCUCGCCGCGGUUUUCCUCCCGCAGGCGGAACGGGGGAGUGGCGGAACAGCUCCACGGCGGGACUGGCCUUUGCUCUGUACACUGGGGAAGGCCGAGCUAGGCAGGCGGAGCCAGACUGAGGGAUCAUUGCGACUACAGGCUCACUGACUGACUACAGCUGUAAUUGCAUCCUACCAGUAUACACCAUAGCUCGCAAGAUUCAGCUCAGAUGGUCCUUUUCCCAGGAAACCCUGCCAACGAGAGCUGGCUCUUCCUUCAGAUUACUGCAGCA